CAGGGAGACAAUAAAUCGAUUGUGAUGUCUAAGUGAUUUAUUCUUAGGCCACAAUCCUGUCACCUUAAGGUCGAUCGGUACCUCAGGUUUUUGAAUUAAUUUUUAAUUAAUUCUUUGACUUCAGUUCCUAAAACUUGUCUAGGUCACACCCAACAAAGGUUUCUCCUGGGCCAUUAGCUCAGGUGGUUAGAGCGCACCCCUGAUAAGGGUGAGGUCCCUGGUUCAAGUCCAGGAUGGCCCAUUCGUUGUUGGGGGUAUAGCUCAGUUGGUAGAGCGCCUGCUUUGCAAGCAGGAUGUCAGCGGUUCGAGUCCGCUUACCUCCACUGAAAACUAUCCUGCUAACUUAAUUCUGGAGAAAAUUUGUAUAUGUGGCUUAGAAUUGUCUAUCUGAUCAGAACCUAGCUUCUUAUCAUCUUCUUAGAGUUGAUAAUAUGCUGGGCUCAAAUGGAUUUAUUCCAUGAGAAUUCAGUAGAACCUUGAAAACUGCAUAGAUUAGAAGGAAUAAAGCAUCUCAUGGAUGCAUAAUUCUGGUUUGAUUUUUUAGCUUCAAAACUAAAUAAUCAAGUUUCAGAAUUCAUGUUUAAUUCUUGAGUAAUAGCCGAGCACAAUUGAUUUUGUGUUUGUAUUUAA
rnacentral:tRNA from 1 species